UAUAUAUAUAUAUAUAUAUAUAUAUAUAUAUAUAUAUAUAUUGUUUUUCUGUCUCUUGCAACUCCACUUGCCUGUAUUAUCUUUCUGUCGGCUGGAAAUUAUAUCUGAAGCCCAUGUUUCGUUGAAGACAGAAGGAUCAAGCAUGGGUAUGCCUAAGCCUUCUUCUACUCUGCUUCUGCUGUUGCUUAUAGUCACUGUUUCUGCAUCCCAGAAACAAAUAACAUCAGAAGCAAGGACACUUUUGUCCCAGAAACAAAAAUAUUCCAAGAUUUUUUCGACACUGGGAGUUGUUUGCAAGUGUUGUGAUGAAACUGGAGCUGAGUGCGCAACUACUUGGACGGGUUCUUGCCAUAAUCUCCAAUGUCUUCCAUGGAAGAUCUAGACUAGACUAGUCAGGGAUUUCCUUGCGUUUUCUCUUCUUAGCGGUUUUUGUACAUAUAUGUAGUCACACUCGAUCAAUGAUUCAAGCAGCUUUCCAGCUUUGGCCA